UGACCUGAAAAACACAAACAGUUUUACAACAAAUGUUGGUGUUGUAGGCACUUUUCCAUCUUAUUCGUCACCAAAAAAUCAAACGUAUGCAAUUUAAUUACCGUUGUCUGGUUCAACAAGUCUGCACUAGGCCUAUUGAGGUACCCAUAGGUCAACCCACUACCAUAGCCAAACUCUCGGGUACGUGUUUAACUGCUAGGUGAACAACGGCAUUGGGGGGCAGUGUGCUCAACUGUUUAUCCUGCCCGGGGGAUUGAACCCAGGUCCUUCGAUUGUGAAUCGAGGACAUAGGCUGGCGGCGCUGUGUUACAGGAACUAUCUUUACAAUAUAAUUAGAGAACAUGAUGUCUCGUAGACAUUAUACGAGACAAACACCUAAAACUUCAGUGUUAUCAUAACUACUGCUUAAGUAAUUUUUAAUAUGAAACUUUGUGGUUAAAAAAUAUGGACCUAAAGUCUAAAGUCAAUUUUUAUAUAAAUGUUUCACUUUCUCCACGAGACAAAGGAAGAUCGAGAUGCUUGAAUGACUAAUAAAAUAGCCAGCUGUGAAGAGCCUAUUUUUAUAGUGUAAAAAGUCUAUAAAAAUGUAACAGUAAAUAACCUGGCAUACUGUCUAUUCAUAAUCUGUGGUGUUCCUAGGCCCUACAAGGGAAGUAGGGUCUUGUAUACAAGACUGUUCGACAAAGCUCACUUUUUGAAUGUCAAAACUGUAGAUACUAUUAAGCUAGAACGUAUUAGCUUGGGUUAGAAUACACUGAGUUAGGUAUAUUCUACGAGUUUGCGAACCAUCCUGUGUAUGAUGUAAUUUGUAUCCGUCAUUAGUACCAGAGGCUUCAUGCCCUCAUAUUCUAGUAAUCCACGUUACUGGGUUAGACAACUACUGGGUGUAGUAAUUACUACACCCAGUAGGUUACUGGGUGUAGCCAGUUAAGACAACUGGCUACACGUAUCCUAAUUUGUCUUCAUACAAGCCACUGUUACUAAUCACAUAUACAGUACAGGUGUGUGUGUGUGCGCGUUCAUAGAUAUUUAUAAAUCGUGUAGAAUAUUCAAACACUACAGUUUCUGCUGCACGAUUUUUAUCCUUAUAUGUAUAAAUUACAUGAUUACUGCCCCUAUGUGUAUAAAUUACACGGGUUCUUACCCACUGUAUGUAUAAAUUCAAGGAAUGUAUUAUAACACAUGAGGACACGAGUCUACACUAAAGCUAUUGUUAUAAUGGUGAAGAAUUUUACUGGCCAAGGACUGAUUAAGACAGGUGACUGAUGCCUUACUUGUAGACACUGGCGUACAUGGCGGCUGUGUUGUUGGUCAUGAGGUGAGCCAGAGCCUCGAAGGACAGGAUGGGCUCCAGUCCGCAGAAUCUCCUAUAGGGAAAAAAUGAUGCUCAGAGACUGAGAGGAAGAGAGUGACAGGCACGAGACUUGCCUCCAUGCUCCGUAGCCCGGCACGCCAAACUCUCGACCUCGCGCUAAGUUGAAGGCCACCAGGUCGAAGCCAUGCCGUUGGUUCUCCUUCUCGAACAAGUGGUUGGUGACCUGGGUACAAGAACAGGAUGAAGGGGUCAGUAUGGGUUGGAAGGCCAUUGUAGGUCUGGUAGGAAAUAUGUAUCGCAUAGGUCAUGCCCAACACAAGCCACAAGGUCAUCACAGGUGACAACGUCAACAUGGAUCAUGUAUUGAAAUACAAAUAAAGAUCACAGUUCAUCCAAA
rnacentral:lncRNA from 1 species